UAAACCUGAGAAACCCAAAAGAUCGAAUGGGGAGAUUNAUCGCCAGCGGCUUUGCUUCCGUGUGGUUUCGCGAUGUCGCGGGAUUUCGGUUCCGUGGCACGCUGCCACUGCGGCAUGUCAGGCGUCGUCGGUGUGCACUUCUCCCCUAGUAGGACGUCGCGACCCGUUGGGUGUAGGCCUACGGCCCGUACGGUCGACUGUCGCGUCGCGUUCACGCGCGCUCACGUGGCAGACCUACGGUGUUCCCGGCCUACUGCCCGGCGGUAUGGAACGCUUCAAUUGGUAUCGAGCCGACAUUGCGUGCGUUCUGGCUCCUCGGCAGGCUCGUCCCGCUCGGAUUUACGGACCUAGCGCCGUUGCCGGGUGCUCGAUGUGGCCGUUAAGCCGAGGAUGUCCUCGAACGGGCUCUCUCGA
rnacentral:rRNA from 1 species